GAUGAACGCUGGCGGCGUGCCUAAUACAUGCAAGUCGAGCGAACAGAUGAGGAGCUUGCUCCUCUGACGUUAGCGGCGGACGGGUGAGUAACACGUGGAUAACCUACCUAUAAGACUGGGAUAACUUCGGGAAACCGGAGCUAAUACCGGAUAAUAUAUUGGACCGCAUGGUUCAAUAGUGAAAGACGGUUUUGCUGUCACUUAUAGAUGGAUCCGCGCCGCAUUAGCUAGUUGGUAAGGUAACGGCUUACCAAGGCAACGAUGCGUAGCCGACCUGAGAGGGUGAUCGGCCACACUGGAACUGAGACACGGUCCAGACUCCUACGGGAGGCAGCAGUAGGGAAUCUUCCGCAAUGGGCGAAAGCCUGGCGGAGCAACGCCGCGUGAGUGAUGAAGGUCUUCGGAUCGUAAAACUCUGUUAUUAGGGAAGAACAAAUGUGUAAGUAACUAUGCACGUCUUGACGGUACCUAAUCAGAAAGCCACGGCUAACUACGUG
rnacentral:rRNA from 1 species